CCCUUAGAUGUUCUGGGCUGCAUGCGCGCUACACUGAAGCUAUCAACACGUUUUCCCUCCCUGAGAAGGGCGGGUAACCUUUUGAAUCAGCUUCGUGGUAGGGAUCGGGGCUUGCAAUUGUUCCCCGUGAACCAGGAAUUCCUAGUAGACGCGAGUCAUAAGCUCGCAUCGAUUAAGUCCCUGCCCUUUGUACACACCGCCCGUCGCUACUACCGAUUGAACGUUUUAGUGAGGCAUUUGGACCGACGCAUCUCAGUUUAACCGCUGGUUUGUGUUGGAAAGACUUCCAAACUUGAGCGUUUAGAGGAAGUAAAAGUCGUAACA
rnacentral:rRNA from 1 species